rnacentral:rRNA from 1 species
GAUGAACGCUGGCGGCGUGCUUAACACAUGCAAGUCGAACGGAAAGGCCCAAGCUUGCUUGGGUACUCGAGUGGCGAACGGGUGAGUAACACGUGGGUGAUCUGCCCUGCACUUCGGGAUAAGCCUGGGAAACUGGGUCUAAUACCGGAGAGGACGAUGGUUUGGAUGCCAUUGUGGAAAGUUUUUUCGGUGUGGGAUGAGCUCGCGGCCUAUCAGCUUGUUGGUGGGGUAAUGGCCUACCAAGGCGUCGACGGGUAGCCGGCCUGAGAGGGUGUACGGCCACAUUGGGACUGAGAUACGGGCCAGACUCCUAAGGGAGGCAGCAGUGGGGAAUAUUGCACAAUGGGCGCAAGCCUGAGGCAGCGACGCCGCGUGGGGGAUGACGGCCUUAGGGUUGUAAACUCCUUUCGCUAGGGACGAAGCGUUUUUGUGACGGUACCUGGAGAAGAAGCACCGGCUAACUACGUG